rnacentral:lncRNA from 1 species
ACCGAGCGAAGCCUGCACCGUCUCGGCCGCGGAGAAGGCGAGCAGCGAGCCCUCUUUGGCCAGGAAGCCUUUGCCGUCCUCCGCGUCAGCCUGCAGCGCCUCCGCCUUGUCGAAGUUACCGCCGCCGGGCAGCGGCUGCGGCGCGAACUUGCGGGCCGCUGCCGCCUCCUGGUGCUGGGGCGACGCGGAGAAGCCGCCGGGGAGCGUGGCCAUGAGCGUAGAGUUAGCCAGAUACGGUGGCGUGUGCCUGUGGUCCCAGCUACUCAGGAGGCUGAGGCAGGAGGAUCAGCUGAACCCAGGAGGUCAAGGCUGCUGUGAGCUGUGUUCAUGACACCGCACUCCAGCCUGGGUGACAGAGUAAGACCCUGACUCCAAAAAAAGGAGGAGGAAAUCCUGUGGCAUGCUACAUGAAUGAAUGUUGAGGACACUACGCUGAAUCAAAGAAGCCAGCUGCAAAAGGACAAAUAUUGUAUGAUUCCAUUUAGUUGGAGGUAUUUAGGGCAGUCAAAAUUAUGGGCAGUAAGUAGACUGGUGGCUGCCAGGGCUGGGGGGAGGGGAAACAGGGAGUUGCUUUUCAAUGUGAAAAAGUUCUAGAGAACUAUUACACAGCAGUGUGAAUCUAUUUAACACUACUGAACUGUACACUUAAGAUAGCUAAGAGGAAUUUUUUUUUUUUUUUUGAGAUGGAGUCUCACUCUGUCUCCCAGGCUGGAGUGCAGUGGCACGAUCUCUGCUCACUGCAAUCUCCACCUCCCAGGUUCAAGCAAUUCUCUGCCUGAGUCUCCCGAGUAGCUUAAAUUACAGGUGCCCGCCACCACGCCUGGCUAAUUUUUUUUUUUUUUUUUUGUAUUUUCAG